rnacentral:misc_RNA from 1 species
UCACCCCUCGGACCGAACUUUUUGUUCGCGUCCGGCGUUGGACGUCUUAGGUCGAAUCGGCGUACACGCCCUCGACCCGUCCCAAAGACAAUGACGGCGUCUGUUUGACCCCCGGUGCAACGAGCUUUAAAUCGGCACGCACCGAUGGGCCGUCUUACGGACCCGGUCACCGUCGUCCCGGGGAAAAGACAUCUCUUUUGAUGUUUCUUUCUGGGACUUCACUUUCAA